GACGUAUUCGACGCACAGAUCAAGGUAUUUCCUGGAAAGACCCAAGCAGAGGUGACACGGAUGGUGUGCAGUGCUGUAGACGACGACAGCGACCUAGUGUAUGAAGACUUCAUGGAGAAUUUCACGCCAGAUGUCAAAGCCAUCGUUUCAGCAGUUUUGCAGGAGUGCGAGAGGUCAGCGUGAAUAGCUGGCACGCCCGGUGGCCGCUGACGCAAGCCCAGGAGGAAGCUUGAUCACCGCCCUCUGCAAUA
rnacentral:lncRNA from 1 species